rnacentral:SRP_RNA from 1 species
AUGCACUAGACGGGGAACUAGCGAUGCCCUGUAACCUGCAAUCGCUACAGCAGGGUUGAAUUCCCAGUGGAGGGGUAUUAGAAUUAAGGUCUGCCUGAAAAAAGUGGUGUUGACAAAUGGGUCUUACGCAACAGAAAUUCGUGAACCUGGUCAGGUCCGGAAGGAAGCAGCCAUAAGCGGACACUUUUGUGUGCCGUAAGGUAGCCUGUUUCGAGCUAACUAUUUUAGUAACGCUUAAGGCUAAUAGUUCGAUACUGGGUGUGCUU